GAUGAACGCUGGCGGCGUGCCUAAUACAUGCAAGUCGAGCGAACAGACGAGGAGCUUGCUCCUCUGACGUUAGCGGCGGACGGGUGAGUAACACGUGGAUAACCUACCUAUAAGACUGGGAUAACUUCGGGAAACCGGAGCUAAUACCGGAUAAUAUAUUGAACCGCAUGGUUCAAUAGUGAAAGACGGUUUUGCUGUCACUUAUAGAUGGAUCCGCGCCGCAUUAGCUAGUUGGUAAGGUAACGGCCUACCAAGGCAACGAUGCGUAGCCGACCUGAGAGGGUGGUCGGCCACACUGGAACUGAGACACGGUCCAGACUCCUACGGGAGGCAGCAGUAGGGAAUCUUCCGCAAUGGGCGAAAGCCUGACGGAGCAACGCCGCGUGAGUGAUGAAGGUCUUCGGAUCGUAAAACUCUGUUAUUAGGGAAGAACAAAUGUGUAAGUAACUAUGCACGUCUUGACGGUACCUAAUCAGAAAGCCACGGCUAACUACGUG
rnacentral:rRNA from 1 species